AUACAGAAUCUUGUUUUCUUCUGUUUGGAUUUGGUACUGAACUAUACUGGAUUCACUUGCAAGAAGAGUUUGAAUUAGCAGCAUGCUGAGAAUGGAUACAGUGUUUGAAGAGACUGAUAUAGAAAGUACAGGAGUAGUUUUAUUUUUGGAAGAAGCAGUGGUCCUUGGGCACAGACCCCGUAUGAGUUUUCCUUUCAGCAUUCUCUGCUCAGCUGUUCUCUGCUGUGGUAAUUUUGGAUCAAAUCACCCUAACGUUUUUCAGCAAAGACUUUAGAAGAAAUAAAGCUGCAUUACUUUUUCUUGGCACAUUCUUCCUUUAGGACCUAUAGUGAGAAUGGCUCUCGUGAUAAUGAUGGAAGCAGCCUGAAAUAAAAUCUAACAAAACAGUCUGGACAUGAUGGCUCAUGCCUGUAAUCCCAGCACUUUGGGAGGCUGAGGCGGGUGGAUGACUUCAGGUCAAGAGUUUGAGACUAGCCUGGCCAAAAUGGUGAAACCCCCUUUCUACUAAAAAUAAGAACAUUAGCCAGGCAUGGGGGUGCAUGCCUGUAAUCCCAGCUACUCAGGACGUUGAGAUAAGAGAAUCCCUUGAACCCGGAAGGCAGAGGCUGCUGGGAGCUGAGUUUGGAUCACUGCACUCUGGCCUGUAUGACAGAAGGAGACUCCAUCUCAGAAAACCUCUCUGAACAUUAAAAAGCAAGGUUUUAAAUAGAGACAGAACUUGCCCUGUGGCCCACGUUGGACUCCUGUGGCAUGAUCGUGAUCCACUGCAGCAUCAACUUCUUUGGGUUCAAAUGAUCUUCCCACCUUAGCCACCUGAGCAUCUCACCUGUCUGGACUCCACCUAUCCUCCCCUGUCAGCAUCUCACAGCAUAGGCAUGGGCCACCAGAACCAGCUUAUUUUUGUAUUUUUUUUAAGCAGAAGAGAUCUUACCAUGUUGUGAAGACUGGUCUCGUACUUCUGGCUGAAGUGAUUUGUUCUCCUAAGUCUUCCAAAUUGAUGGGAUUACAUAUGUGAACCACCACACCCACACUCCUACUGGUAUAUUUAGAAGGAUAUAAGUAUGCUGGUUUUUGGAUGCAUGCAUGGAGAAGACCCCAAAGCUUUUCACUUUUCCCUGAGUUUGGGCUAAACACUAGCGUUCCUCAAAAAGUCCAUAUCCAAAGUCUGGGCAGUUUUUCUUUUCUUUCUUUUCCUUUUUUUUUUUUUUCUUGGAUUGUUUUUAAAAAAUAUGUCGAGAAUAGUAGACCAUCAAAAGGGUGACAGAACACAGAUUAAGUGGAUAUACAACACAAAGAAUGCAGACCACAAAAAUAGCUCUGGAGUGUUGCUAAACAAGUAAACAACCCACAAACUAAGGAAUUGUGGACGUUAAGAAUUUGUUAUCCAAAUAUGCUGAAUACUAUCCAAUAUUUCAAUUCACUUCAUUUUACUAUUCUCAAAGACCUAAGGGAACCCAGGAGAACAGUGAUUCAAAACUGAAAAUACCAGUAAAGACAUACGAAUUAUUUUAAAAAUGAAAUCUAUAACCUUGAAGUUACUAGGAAGCUGUGUGAUUGAAAGUCAGUCACUCAAUCACAUGAUCCUGGGAUUUUCCUCUACGUGUGGGACUACCCAUACCUUGCAGCAUUGCUGUGAGUUCACCUGAGCAAGACACCUGCACAUGAUGGUGCUCAGAAAAUGUUACUUUCCCUUUAUUGAAAUGGAACAACCCAUGGGUAUUAUGUGUUGAGGUCUGGAUUACAGUUGAGCAAGAUACAGAAGACCUUGUAAACCCUGAGGAGGCAUCACUGAUCACUGGGAGUCUGGAAAGGCAGCAGAGAAAAAGUGACCUGCAGCUGGAAAUGGACAAUGGGUCUGUUACAGGAAGUUAAACAGGCAUGAGUGGGGCAGAAGAGAGUUCUCCCCAUCCACCUACCAGGAAUGUCAGGCCAUCAGGUAAUGGUUGGACAGUUAUCACAUUGCUUUUCUAAAAAUAAUAAUUUAGCAGCGGAGCCAGGGAUAGACAAGUUCCUACUGAUACACAGCUGGUAACAUUAAAGUGUUAAUUAAACUCACACUCCUGGUAGGAGGAAAAAGGGCUUCCAGUAAAAUUUCACAUACUGCGUGAGUGAACUGAGACAUGCACAUUAAGAGACGAAAUGGCACAGCAUGACUAUCUGGGGUCACUCCACCAAAGAAAGGGAGGAAGCUUCAGAUGGGCAUGCAUAUAAAUGCUCAAACACACUGCCUAUGCUCACUUCUCAAGGGUAAGGAGGGCACUGUGCCUGCUGGCAGCCCACACUUAGGAAAGAAUCAUGGAAAAAGGUUCACCAGAUGCUCAAGGUGGGCCAGCCUAUAAAGUCCCAGAAUGAAGAGAAAUGGCCACACUUGUUCUUCAAGUCACCAAUUUGGAUCUCUUCCAAGUGCACUAUUCAUUCUUUCCUGCUCUAAAGCGUUUUAAUAAAUGUCCACUCCUGCUGUGAAACUUGCCUCAGGUUUUUUUUUUCCUUCUUUAUGCCCAUCAGUUGAAUUCUUUCACCUGAGGAGGCAAGAACUGACAUUGCUAAAGACGCAGAUGGAUUUGCUGCCAGUAAUUCAGAUACUUUCCACCAGUAACAGAUCUAGGAGCUGGUGGACAUAGUGGCUGAAGUAUGUGUCUAGAAUGUUUCUGCCCAGGCCACAAGCAGUCCUGGACUGUAAAGGGACUUGAACCCCAAGCUCAAGGGACACCACGGAAAGAGACUUCAGCCUGCUGAUGGAAUACUGGAGAUAGGAUUUUUUUAUUGAGGUAUAAUUCCCUUAAUAUGUUAACUGUUUUUUAAGGUAUAAUUCAGUGACACAGGAAUGUGCAUGUUCUACCACUUCUUAAUUCCAAAUUAUUUUCAUCAUCUCAAAAGGAAAUCCCCUACCUAUUAAGGAGCUACUACCCAAUCUGUCCUCUUUCUGA